AAGCGCAGGCCGGCAUGGGACGGGGCGGUGCUCAGAGGAAGGGGUUGGUGCCGGUCUGCGGGGGCGGGGGCCGCGGCCCGGCUGAGCUCGGCGUGGGCAGCAGCGGCUGCGGCAGGCCAGCGGGGGGCGGUGCGAAGGCUCCGGCCUGCGGGAAGACGCUAACCGAGGCGGGGAGGGUCAAGCCUGCUGGCACGCUGCUGAGCGGGAGGGGCAGAGAGGCGCUGUAGGUCAUGGAGCCCAGGGGCGCCCCCACAGGCCCGCCUGCCAGGCCCGUCGCCGGCGACCCGGUGCGCAUCUGGUUUAGCGUCGGCCUGCCCGGCUCGCCUGCGCCGAACGGGUUGGUGGGGGACGGAGCGCUGAGACCUGCAGAGAGUGCAGAGAGUGGCUUCGAGUGACCCGGGGUUCAGAGCCCUACACUGGGAGGUCUUGGAAGUUGGGAAGAAGAGUGGGCUCCUCCAGCCGAGGCUAGGCUCUGAAAGCAGGAGCCCCUGGGUUGAGGGACAAGGGGAUGUCUUACCUGUCAGGAAGGGGUUCCGGGUCUUUGCAGCCUGGGGUGCCUUGACCAACGAGUCAAGGUUGACCAAGGAGGAAGCUGAGGGGCCCAGAAAUGACUCGGGAGUCCGGCAAGCUUGGGCCUCUUUGCUUGGCUGGGUUAGUGCUUCCCCUAGUAUACCCAGGUCCAGGGCAUCUGGCUCCUUCGUGCCAUUUUGCUUGGAACUGGGGCUGGGGUCUCCAAACAGGUCCAGCUCUGGAAUAGAAAUGCUAGAGCUCAUUGGUGGGGAAAGGGAUUGGCGCCUGACAUUGGAGGAAGAGGACAGAGGCUGCUCGGGGUGGGCCCCUCCUUCCCCAGAGCCUCACCAUCCCCUUGCCCUGCUCACCCGCAGGGCUGCUGGGCUUCCCAGAGGGCAGGGCCUGCUCCAGCCCCUCCUUGGUCUCUGUGGAUUCUGGAGGUUUGGCAAAUGGGUCAAAGGCCGAGGCACCACCUCGGAAGAGAGAGAGGAAGAGGAGACGGGUUGACAAAAAGGGCAGGUGUUGGUCUAACCCCUUUCCAGAGAAGCUGCCCUCCUAACACAGACAGUACCUGCUGCCCCUUGGCCCUGCCUGGAAGUCCCCCAGCCCCUCACUCACACUCUCUGGCCCUCUUCUUACCAGGUGUGUCGGAGGUCUCCAGGGAGGCUCCCCAAGGGUCAGCCCCAGUGCUGGGGAGUUUGUGGUGGGGAGAGUUCAGUGCCCAGGGGUCUGUGGUGGGGGGCCCAGCAGGCAGCACUGGGGUCCUGCCCCAGGGCUCAGAGGAGGAGAGCAUGGGAGUCAGAUCCCAGGGCUGGCUUCGGGACAGGAUGGUUCCUGAGGGGAUCGGAGACCAGGGGUCUGCAGAAGGCCCCCAGGAGGAGCCACUGGCCUCUGUGUUCGGCCUAAAACCUGAAAUGGGAACAGCAUAGACGUGAUCCCAGGCCCACCCUUAUCCCUCGCCCAGGGACCUUCCCAGUUACCCAGCCCAAGUUGGGAGGCAGAAGAUCCAUGUCACAGAUGGGCUGCCGCCUCAGGACCACCCAGCAGGCUGGAGUCCCUAUUUGGCAAGUGACCCCAGGAGCUGGGACCUGCAGGUGUGGGCGACUCAGGCCACCUUCCCAGGCGUGCUGAGCAAGUGAGUGCAGCGAGAGAACAUUUGCUGCGUUUCCUAGGAGCUGGGCCCUUCAGACAGUCUCCAUAGCCCUCACUACGAAAGCCUGUCCCACAGGCGGCGGAGGCUCAAGGUGAUACCUAUUCAUGAUCCCUCACCUCUGCACAGUGCUUUACAGUUUAUAAUGUUUCUUCAUCUACAGAGUACCUGAUUUGCAUAACAACCCUGUGAGGCUCUCUGUCCCACCGAUGGUGGACCACGGCCCCUGCACCAUUGGCCAUGGGGGAGCCAUCACCCCGCCAGGAUCUCACCUCCUGCAGAAGGCACAGAAAGAGUUAGGAGCAUGAGCAGCCCAGGCGGGAAUCCGGGGACCUGUGCACCCAAGGCUGGAGUCGAGAGAGUGCAGGGUGGGAGGCAGCUGAGAGGUUAGGAGCAGCAGGGCCACCGGGUACAGUGAGAGGAGCCUGUCAGUGCCCUGAAGCACCUCCACCAGCAGCGGCAACAGCACCGGCAGCCCAGCGGGCUCGGCCCACUACCUUCUCGUGCUCCUGCCAGCUCAGGCGCAGAGCCAGCUGCAGCUGCAGGUCCUCGUCCCUGUGGGAGGCUGGGGGGACAGGCUGCGGAGGAAGAGAGGGGUAAACUUGGCCCUGUACCCCCACCUUGGGACCAGAAGGGCAGUAUAGGCCUGCCUGGGUCAUGGGGAUGGAGAGACAAAUGCCCACCCUCAGUGUGCAUGGGCCGUUUGCCCCUCAGUCAGCAGGGUGGGUGUGGCCUUCUCCCUGCCUGCAUCUGAAAUGCAGUUUAAAGAUCAAGAAGACUGAUCUUUCGCUUCUGAA